GGAAGAAGAAACCCCGCCGUCCGAGUCGUUCUGAGUCUCGGGGCAUCAGCUAGUCGAGUCAUCUCCUCUCCAGCGCUCAGAGACAACAAGGGGGGAACAAGGAAAUUAUUAUUCGAACCGGGAAACUUUAGGGUUUUUGUCUGCGAACGAUACGCUUCGUCAUACAUCGCCGGAUGACGGUGAGCCGCCUCUCUCUCUCUCUCUUUCUCUCUAUCUUGGAAGCGUCUUCUUUGUCCACUGUAUUUUUCUUCUUCUUCUUCUUAUCACCAUCCUGAGCGACCUCUUUCUUCUUCUUCCAUCAGGCGAAAAAAGUACGUCAACCGUCUUGUUCAAAAGAAAUCAUUUUUUACUUGUAUGGAGAACGUUUGUAUUAUUACGACGAUUCCGUUUGAUUUCUUCGUUUAGUUUUUCUGUUGUGAUGUUCGGUUGGUUUUCCCUUGGUGGUUUCACGGAAGAGCUCGGAUUCCCUUUUGGGCAACUUCUCUUUUGAUUAUACGUUUUGUCGUCGGUCGUCUUUUGUGCUUUCUCUGGGCAGCCAUGGAUCUGAUACAAAAUUACCAAGAGAACAGUGAAGAAUCUAGUCCGGAACGGCCGUCUGGUUCCGGUUCGCAGCCCUCUUCGCCGGAUUCUUCGCCGAUGAGGUUGGAGUUGCCCUCUAAGAGCUCCGCUCCCCAGGUAGACGACGCUGUGGUCGCACUAGGGGUCGCCGAUCCUAACCUUUCCCGUAAUGUUGAGAAACCCAUCGAUCCCGUUCAGCAUCUGGUUUCGUUCAACCCGACCUUCGAUCAACUCUGGGCGCCCAUCUAUGGCCCCUCGCACCCGUAUGCCAAAGAUGGGGUUGCUGAGGGGAUGAGAAACCACAAAUUGGGGUUCGUGGAGAACGCGUCGAUCGAGCCCUUUCUCUUUGAUGAGCAGUAUAACACGUUUCACAAGUAUGGCUAUGCUGCGGACCCGUCGGGGUAUGUGGGAAGCGAGUAUAUUGGCGAUUUAGAUGCGCUUCAGAAGAACAGUGGCCUGUCUGUGUACAACGUCCCGAAGAAUGAACAGAAGAAGAGGAGGAAGACGGAGUUGCAGAAGAAUGAGGAAGAGGGCGAGAAGGAAGAUUUGGGUCCUGAAGUUGACAACCCAGAGACUCAAGAAUGGCUUUUGAAAAAUCGGAAGAGCCCUUGGGCGGGGAAGAAAGAUGAGGUUCAGACUGAACUUACGGAGGAGCAGAAGAAAUACGCCGAGGAGCACGCUCAGAAGAAAGCAGCAGCUGAGAGGGAGAAGAGUGGUAUCACGGAAGUCACGGAAAAGAGCACCUUUCACGGGAAAGAAGAACGGGACUAUCAGGGGAGGUCCUGGAUCCUUCCUCCUAAGGAUGCCAAGGCUACAAACGACCAUUGUUACAUUCCGAAGAGGUGGGUGCAUACUUGGAGUGGGCACACCAAGGGUGUUGCAGCCAUCAGAUUCUUCCCGAAACAUGGGCAUCUUCUUCUCUCAGCUGGUAUGGAUACAAAAGUGAAGAUUUGGGAUGUGUUCAACUCUGGUAAAUGCAUGAGAACUUACAUGGGCCAUGCGAAGGCGGUCCGAGAUAUCACUUUCUCGAAUGAUGGUACAAAGUUUCUGAGUGCUGGUUAUGACAAGAACAUCAAGUUGUGGGAUACAGAGACGGGAAAGGUGAUCUCCACAUUUUCUACUGGUAAAAUUCCGUAUGUGGUUAAGCUCAAUCCUGAUGAAGACAAGCAGAACGUGCUUCUUGCUGGAAUGAGCGAUAAGAAGAUUGUUCAGUGGGAUAUGAAUUCUGGAGAGAUCACUCAAGAAUAUGAUCAGCACCUUGGUGCUGUUAACACCAUUACCUUUGUCGAUAACAACAGAAGAUUUGUUACUUCCAGUGAUGAUAAAUCCCUGAGAGUUUGGGAAUUUGGAAUCCCGGUUGUCAUAAAGUAUAUCAGUGAGCCUCACAUGCAUUCAAUGCCAUCCAUCUCACUUCAUCCAAAUGGUAACUGGCUUGCUGCUCAGAGCUUGGACAAUCAGAUUCUGAUAUAUAGCACAAGAGAGCGGUUUCAGUUGAACAAGAAGAAGAGGUUCGCUGGGCAUAUUGUUGCUGGGUAUGCCUGUCAGGUCAAUUUCUCACCCGAUGGAAGGUUUGUGAUGUCUGGAGAUGGGGAAGGCAAAUGCUGGUUUUGGGACUGGAAGAGUUGCAAGGUCUUCCGAACUCUCAAAUGUCAUGAGGGUGUGUGUAUCGGUUGCGAAUGGCAUCCAUUGGAGCAAAGUAAAGUUGCUACAUGCGGCUGGGAUGGAAUGAUCAAGUACUGGGAUUGAUCGUUAUGGUCAAGAUCAUGACGUCAGCUUUUUCCAGUUUAUGUUGAAAAAAAGGCUGUCCAACUGCGCAUGCCCAAUGUUGAUCUUCAUGGGAAGCAGCUGAAAGAUGAUCGUUCGAUGCAAGUUUUAUAAUGACGUGCUACACAGGAAAUUUUGCUUGAUGUCGUGGCUGUGAAGUUCGCGAUGCUGAAAUAAGGGCAUACUAAAGAACUGUAAUUUGUUCUUCGAGUCCGGUGGGACUGAAAAUUGCGGGAUGCUGGGAUGCUGUGUUAGAGAGAAAGUGCAUUAGUGACUUUUAGUUAGAUCCCGUGCCAAGUAACAGAAAAAGCAUAAGCGAUUUUCUGCUUUUUGGUUCAAUGUAGAUGUGAUCUUUCAUGUUUAUUUCAGGGCAACAUAUUUUAGAUCAAAUUACUUAGUGAUAAAA